CUGUGUUUCUUCCCUUCCAUGUCAGUUCAUUGAUUCAUGGUAGUUGUCAGUCUACUAGUGUCUCCUUGUUUUUUUGUUUUGGAUUUUGCUAGCAAGUUUUUGUUUGCCUUUUUUGAUUAUUAAAUACUUUUAGUUUAUUCUGCACUUGGGUCCACCUCUCCUUGUUUUCCAACCAUUCAUGACAAUUUGUAUCUUGUUGUCAGAGCAUCUAGGAGGGAUGUUACAGCAACUACAACAACUACCAAUCUAGUUGAAGGCUCUUUCCUCUUGGAUGGAGUUUGUUCUUUUUUCACAUUCAAUUUCACCACUGUGUUCUCUCCAUAUUGAUCUCUACUGAGUUGCUGAUUGUUUGACCCCUACUGGCCACCGUACACAUUACCAGAGGAGGACUCACCAUGUGCCUAAAAGGAUUUAUGAGUAACCAUGUCAACAUGACACUUCUGAAGACCUGUGUCAUCCUUCUCCUUCUGACUGUGUUGUUCUUUGUACUAAGAAACAUGGACCUGCUGCAGGUGAGAACUGGGAUUAGUGGCAACACUUUGAAGAUGGACUGAUGAUUACAGGGGAUUAUUUUCAACAGUGUCUUUCAAUGUACUCUUCACAACAUUCAUGGUUUUUAUUUGUAAAUAAACACAAUUUCAUUUGAAGGUUAUGUUGCUUAAAACAUUUUGCUCAGUGAUUCUCUGAAUCACUGGAGGAUGAGAUAAUGGGGUGAAAAGCUGUGAAUGCAUUAAUGACAUACACACAUACUUGAUGCCAUCCCUGCAUAAUUUGCAC